rnacentral:rRNA from 1 species
CCCUAGUAACGGCGAGUGAAGCGGCAACAGCUCAAAUUUGAAAUCUGGCGUCUUUGGCGUCCGAGUUGUAAUUUGCAGAGGGCGCUUUGGCAUUGGCAGCGGUCCAAGUUCCUUGGAACAGGACGUCACAGAGGGUGAGAAUCCCGUACGUGGUCGCUAGCCUUUACCGUGUAAAGCCCCUUCGACGAGUCGAGUUGUUUGGGAAUGCAGCUCUAAAUGGGAGGUAAAUUUCUUCUAAAGCUAAAUACUGGCCAGAGACCGAUAGCGCACAAGUAGAGUGAUCGAAAGAUGAAAAGCACUUUGGAAAGAGAGUUAAAAAGCACGUGAAAUUGUUGAAAGGGAAGCGCUUGCAGCCAGACUUGCCUGUAGUUGCUCAUCCGGGUUUCUACCCGGUGCACUCUUCUAUAGGCAGGCCAGCAUCAGUUUGGGCGGUUGGAUAAAGGUCUCUGUCAUGUACCUCCUCUCGGGGAGAACUUAUAGGGGAGACGACAUGCAACCAGCCUGGACUGAGGUCCGCGCAUCUGCUAGGAUGCUGGCGUAAUGGCUGUAAGCGGCCCGUCUUGAAACACGGACCAAGGAGUCUAACAUCUAUGCGAGUGUUUGGGUGUCAAGCCCGAGCGCGUAAUGAAAGUGAACGGAGGUGGGAACCUUUCGGGGUGCACCAUCGACCGAUCCUGAUGUCUUCGGAUGGAUUUGAGUAAGAGCAUAGCUGUUGGGACCCGAAAGAUGGUGAACUAUGCUUGAAUAGGGUGAAGCCAGAGGAAACUCUGGUGGAGGCUCGCAGCGGUUCUGACGUGCAAAUCGAUCGUCAAAUUUGGGCAUA